UUGUCAAGGAAAUUGAAUCCACGGUGGAAUUUGAAACUUCUCUUGGCUAGCCAAUCAGCGCAUCCAUUCCUCUCCCUCUGUAUAUGUUGAAAUGAGAUUUCCCAUGGUCUAUUCUUCAUCUCGCAGAUCUGAAUAUGGAGAGAAUUAUAGUGAGUUCCACCUUUUAACUCCCUAUUGAUUUCUUCUAUUUCCUCCAUUGAAUCACUCUCAAUCACUACUCUUCUCAUCCCCAAGUUCCAGGCUACCUUUAGACCGUGAUAUAUCCCCCAUAAUUCUGCUUGUAAAAUAUGGCAGAUCCCCAAAUUUGCUACGAAACCACCAAUCCGUUAUCCCUUGUGUGUUCUUAACAGUCCUCCGCAUCCAGUUUCUCCAGAUUCAUCCUUAACUGAUCCAUCUGUGUUUAAGUUCACCCAACCUUGUAUAGGUGGGUUCCAAUUGAUGUCUUCCUUCGUCUCUUUUGUUGUCGUCUUAAACUGUUCAUCCUUGUAUAAAGCCUCUUUAAUUCUGUCAAGGACUACUGUGAUGGCACUAACUGCGUUUCUGGGUCUCUCAUAUGGUGGGGAGAAUAAUUCCUGAUUCCUCCAUUUCCAAUUCCACCAGCAUACAACAAAAAAUAUAUCUUUCCACUGGUGUUUAGAUGAGAUGUCGAUGCUGUUCUUUAGAUUCAGCUCCAUCCACUCCUCUAACUCUGUUACAAAGAAGAUAGCCAGGCCUGUGGUUGAACUAAUUGUGUCUAUACUCUAACCGCCUUUGAGCAGUCUCUCAGGACUGCGCAGGGCAGGUGUGGCAAUUUGGAUUAGUCCCCAGCAAUCCAGCAUCUUCGCUCUCCUACUGGCGGAACUUGUAAGCAGACGCCACCGUAAAAUACCGGUAUUGGAGUGUAUCCAGCUAACCGCGUCUUCCCUGUCUUCGAUUGGAGGUGGGAUUGCCCGUAUCUUAUUAAUGAUUUUCUUUGGAAGGCCGGCUCCAAUCCCAGGUGGACGCUCUCCUCCAGCGUGGCAACCCCACCUCAACGCGCAUGUGCUUCCCUCUGUUUCCGCCGCUCAGCUGUCUCUUCUCGCUAUUCACUCACGAAAGCUCCCCUUUUUCACGGAUUUGGUUGAACAGUUGUUGCUACUCUCGCCUUCCUGCCUCGAUCUUCUCUGUGGGUGUUGUGAUCCCGAUUCUUCCAUCUCCACCGUGUGACCUGUCUUUCUGUCCUUUUUCUCAGUUUCUCUCUGCACGGUGUUGGUGUCACUCUGAAAUCCUGGAUCUUCAACCCAGUUUUCUUUAUCCCCAUCCAGUUCGUGUUUCUGGAUCCUUUCUUGGAUUAUCCCAGUUUUCUUUAUCUGGGUACAUUGUGCAUCAAGGUGUCCGUCUUCCAUCGACGUUUUCUGUCCCGAACGACCCCUCAGAACAGUAUUGAAUAGUUCAAGUACUGCUAGAGGAUGGGAACGAACGAAUGGCACAUCGAAAGAAGAUCUAGCUUGACGUUUUCUGUCCCAAGUGACCCCUCAGAACAGUAUUGAUGAAGAUGUAUAAGAGAUCAAUUGAGAAUGUUGCUGGUUUUGGAUCUGAAAAAGCAUGUAGGAAGCUAUUUGGACUCUAUGAUGUUAAACAUCACAAGUCAACCGGUUUACUCAUGCACCAACAAUCAUAAUUUGAGCUGAUUCUUUGUAUAAUGGGGUCUUCUCUUCUGUAUCCUUGUUUAUGUGCUAGGGGUCACCUUCUUGUUCUUUGCCUUGAUCAUGUGCAAAAUUCGGAUAGUGGUUCAAUGACAUUAUGUUCAAAAGCAGGAUCAUCAUCUCUACGAACUUCACCAUUUCAAUUGUUACAUAUGCUCCUGAACAGUUAUCAGGCAGCAGUCUUGGCAGCAGCCCCGAUGAUAAUAGUUCCGAUGGGAUCAAACUAGAUGAAAAUGAAGUAUGGCAGUUCUGAUUUGCUUAUGGAAAUACAUGGCAGGGAAUGGUACUUGCAAUCUGUCCUUAACUUGAUCGUUACUUCCUGGCAUCAGCUGGCAAUACUUUUUAUGUUUGUGAUUUCCCAAAUGACAAUCCCCAAAGAGCGAGAAAGUUUGCGCAGGGAAGGACACGUUUCUUGGUAACAUCAUUGACUAUACAUUUCACUAGAAUCGCUGUUAGUGAUUUCCGUGAUGAUGUCCUUUUCUAUUCCUACCACGAGGUGAGUGGUACUGCAGUCUCUAUUGUGGAAACCCCCCCUCCCCUUUCCCCAACAACUCUGCCUUCUUCUUUUUUCUUGAAAAAAAAAAGGAAAAAUAAAAGAUAAAUGGACAUAAGAACUUAAUUUUUGAGGUUUACUUUUCAUUGGAUCUUCGUGGGAUAUUAAAGAGCAUUUUCUGCAUUAAUAUUGUUUUAGGUUUUCUGCUUUAGUUAUGGAUGUUUACACAUUAUUUUUGUAUUCUUUUUCUUCUAAUCAAAUUUCUUGUUCUAUGAACAUCAUCUCUCUCUCUCUCUCUCUCUUCACGUUUUCUUUAAUAAUAAAAGUUAUCCUAUGUUUGGUAUAGUAGGAUAAAAAUCCACUUAUCUUGAUAUGUUUUGAGGAGGUUGGUAAAGUGAUAAAGUAAGACUUUAAUCACCCUUGAAUUAAGAUAGUAGGCCUCACAAAUAAUACAAAUUACAAAUUCAAAUGUUAUUAAAACUCUACUUUUUUCACUUUACCAAACCUCCACAUUUUAGAUGAUCUUUUUCCCCCUUCAUGACCAGAACUGUGACUUUUUUGGUGAACUGUUUCACUUAUAAAUUCUAAUUUAUGAUACAAAAAGAUUGGAGCAACUUUACUCUGACCCAUUGCUGAGGUUAGUUGCUGAUUGCAGUCUUAUGGAUGCUGAAACGGCUUUCGGCUGUCGUUUCGGACCGUAAAGGAAGCAUUGCUAUUUUAUGUUUAGAUCAUUUGGAAGGUUAGCCUUCUGUUAAACCAGCUUCUCCUUAAUGAUUUUCUAAUCUAGGUUCAGGUUGAAAGAAAAUUAUCGACGAGAAAAAAGUGAUUAGUUGAUUUUGAAUUAGCGUGGGUUGGUCUCAAAUUUAUCUUUUUUUGGGUGUAGGUUUUAUUUUGUUUUUCUGCUCUCUUGAAGUUUCAGCUGAACUCUUCUGCAUGAUUGAUAAAAGUUUGUAGCUUUUAUUUUAUUUUUAUCUGGGUCAAUCUUGAUAAAUUUGGUUUAAGUUAAUUUUUUAGAGAAAACAUUCUGCUUUAUUUGCAAAUUGGCUUCUUGAAACUUAGCUUAUUACUCUAAAGAUUUUGUGUCUAUUACAGAAUAAUAAUAUUUGUUUUUUAGUAUCUAUUAAUUGGAAAAAGGAGUUUAUAUUUUUAUGAUUUUUUUUACUUUAUAUUUGAUGGGCUAGUUUGGUUUGAGUAAGAUGUAUGCAAUUCACUUGAGUUUUGGUGGACUUUAACUCAUUUCAAGUAUUAAUUUAUAAUAUUGUAUAAGAUGUAUAGCUUAUAAUCAAUUUCAUGUUUUUUUAAAUAGAUAGUCACAUAGGCUGGUAACAUGUUCUCCUCCUAUUCUCCAUUCUCUCGACUCCACUUCUCCUCUCUAGCUCUCUUUAAUUUGUCAAAACUUUGGAAGAUAUGGGUUAGGUAGCUCUCUCGAAUGGGCAGAGCCAUUCUCUAAAUGGUUAUAGGAAGAGCUGUUGGUAUGAAGAAGAGAUUGAAGACAACUUAAAAUGGUAUUUUGCUCUUAAUAGAUAGUUGAAACAGGGUUUUUUAUGCACUAUUUUCCUACAGAGUCUUGUUGCAUGUAGAAGUGAUUGCAAAAGAUAUUAUUGGUAUAUCUUUGUUAAAAGUAAUCCAAGAAAAGUUGGGGUUAAACUACUUUGAUGGAUUGGAUGAUGUUGCAUAUGGUAUAGAAGAUAAUGGGAUCCAUAGGAAUAUGAAAAGUUAUGUUGCUGGACAUCACAAAAAGAGGUUGACUAAGUAUGAUGUGAAAACUGAUCGAUUUGUAAGUUUGUAUAAUUAUUAUUUCAUACUUAUUGAUUACUUUAUUUUUAUAGACCAUUUCUAACUUUUUCUUUUUUACACAGUAUAUUCCCUAUGAGUUUGCUAGGUUGCUAUUUAACAAUGAAGGAUCGGAACAUUGGAGGUUUAUUGUUAAGGACUCAGAGAUUACUAAAACAUUUGUAAUGCAUGUCUUGGAAAGUAAAGGUAGAAAACGAGAGUACGAAAUUGGUCCUAAAUGGAAAGAUUUUGUGAGAAUGCAUAAACUUAGAACUUGAUAUUUAUGUGUAUUUAAGAGGGUUUCGAAAGAUCAUCUAAUUCAGGUUUAUGUGAUUAGAAAGUAAUUAUUCAGUUGUUUGGAGACUUUCUUGUGUUAGGUUUGGGAUGUGUAUUCUAUUUUGGACCCUAGGUGUUUCAUAAUCUAAAAUUCAAAGUAUGUAUGGGAUGUGAACUUCUUGGUUAAUCUAUGUACUUUUUGAUAUGUGAAUAAUUGCUGUAAGCAAAUACUUAUUAUUUGGUUAUCUUUUUCUUUUUGUGUUAACAAGUAUUUGGUUAUCUUUUUCUUUUUGUGUUAACAAUCAAAUUAAUAUUUUUUUAAUUAUAGUAUUAAUUAACAUCCUGAAUGAUUGUUGUAUCUUAUGAGUUUACUUUGAUAUGGUGUUACUUUUUGUUAUUACUCAGAUAUUAAUAUAAGUUAUGGUGUGUUUUAAGUUUGAUAAUUUUUUGUUUUGUUUUUCUAUUAAGAAAAACAAAAAUAACACCAUAUUAAAGUAGACUCAUAAGAUAUAGCAAUCAUUCAGGAUGUUAAUUAACAUUAUAAAUAAAAAAAAUAGCAUAUUAAUUUGAUUGUUAACACAAAAAAGAUAACCAAAUAGUAGAUAUUUGCCUACAGCAAUUGUUCACAUCUAAUAUCAAAAAGUAUAUAGGUUAACUAAGAAGUUCACAUUCCAUACAUACUUUGAAAUUUAGAUCAUGAAACACCUAGGGUCCAAAAUAGAAUACAUAUCCCAAACCUAACACAAGAAAGUCUCCAAGCAGCUGAAUAAUUACUUUCUAAUCACAAAAACCUGAAUUAGAUGAUCUUCUUUCGAAACCAUCCUAAAUACACAUAAAUAUCCAGUUCUAAGUUUAUGCAUUCUCACAAAAUCUUUCCAUUUAAGACCAAUUUUGUACUAUCGUUUUCUGCCUUUACUUUUCAAGAUAUGCAUUGCAAAGGUUUUAGUAAUCUCUGAGUCCUUAACAAUAAACUUCCAAUGUUCCGAUCCUCCACUGUUAAGUAGCAACCUAGCAAACUCAUAGGGAAUAUGCUGUGUAAAAAAGAAAAAGUUAGAAAUAGUCCAUAAAAAAUAAAGUAACCAAUAAGUAUGAAAUAAUAAUUAUACAAACUUACAAAUCGAUCAGCUUUUACAUCAUAUUUAGUCAACCUCUUGCUGUGAUGUCCAGCAACAUAUCUAUAUAUUUCAAUGUUAAUUUAUAGAAAAAAUAUAAGGAAACUAAACAUGAUAACAAUAAAAAAUGUAAGAUAAGGUUAUACAAAAUAUUGUGAAAUGAAAAUUGAUUCUUGAAAUCAAUACAUUUUGAAUGUAACAAACUUAUCAACCAAUUACAUUAUAUCAAGAGGGACAAAAUCAAGACUACAUAUAACCCCAAUCUAAUAUUAAACCAUAAAAAAAUUAACAUACCCUCUUUUUUUGUUAUUGAUCUCUUCUUGACAAUAGUUUCAUUGGAAUUGUUCUUCCCAAUUCUUUGCACAGCAGAACAAGUGUAAUUAAAAAAAAAGAACAAAUUAAAAAAUAAUGAAAAAACAGAUAGAUAAUAGUUGAAGCAACUAAUAACAUUAUAUUACACAAUGAAUUAUAGAUAUAUUUUCAAAUAAAUAUGUUAAUAAAUACAGUAAUUUAAAUAUAAAAUGUAUAAAACCAACAAUAACUAAGAAUAAAAAGAAAAAAGAAAAACUGUAAACUCUAACCUUUUUAUAUUCCCAUGGAUCUCAUUAUCUUCUAUACCAUAUGCAAUAUUAUCCAAUCCAUCAAAGUAGUUCAACCCCAACUUCUCUUGGAUUACUUUUAACAAAGAUAUACCAAUAAUAUCUUUAACAUAAUGAGAUGCAUAAAAAUUCAUAUAGAUUGCAUUAUUUCGCCUAUCCACAUGAGUCACAAAAAAUAUGCCACUUAUGACAUACAUCAAACCGAUCUUGACCAUGCUUUUGAACUUAUAGAAAGCAAAUAACUUGUUUAUCUCAUUCGAAGAUAUCCAAAUUCUUUUUCCUCGGUUUUUUAAUUUAAGUUUGAUACAAUUGUCACAAAGAUCUAUUAUGACGAUUUCAUAUUUCAGCUCGACACCAUAUCUUGCAAUUAUAUCUAGAACCAACACAUCUUCCUAAAAACAAAGAGACUUAUCACAUACAUUUAAUUUUUUAUCACAAAUUUUAUUAAUUCAGUUAUAUAUAAUUUAUCUGUUGAUCACAUGGUUAUUAAAAAAAGCCACAAUUUAUAUAUUAAUCUAAAUAUGUACCCGUCCUUUGUAUGCGCGGAGCAUAAUUCUUGAUUCUUUAUCAUUUCGUCAAUGCUCUCUUGUCCAAAGAAACGUCUAAAUCAACUCAAUUCAAUAUCUUUACAACAUAUAUAACAAGAAAUCGUUAAUAGAAAAUAAAAACAAUAUAAUCUCGACCUUUUGCGAUCACUUCUACAUGCAACAAGACACAUUGUAGAAAAAUAUUGCGUAAAAAACCUGUUUCAGCUAUCUGCAAAUAGAUACACAAAAAAAGAAUAAGAGUAUUGCUUGUAAAUAUAUAAUCCUGCAGACUGGGAAGAAUCAGAGCAGGAAAAAAAAUAAUGAUGCAUGGUAACAGAAAGAGUAACCAGCUAUAAAUCUUAAGAUAUUGCACAAUUUUUAGUUACAAAGGUUUUGACUAAUGAGCUGCCUAAUAGUUCCAAAUUAGUAUCUUUUGUUCCCUGAUAGAACAUGUUGUCAAGAAAUAUGAUACAUGUUAUGGACAUUAGUCUUACAUUUCUCUAAACAGCAAAUAUGAUACAUUUGGGUUGCCUAAUUAAGAAUUUGGAAGAAGAGUAGUUAAAAAGAUGUACCUAUUAAGAGCAAAACAUCAUCUUAAGUUGUCUUCAAUCUCUUCUUACGAAGGAGGGUGGUAUAUUUGUGACACAGGCAGGACCUGCUGGAAUAUUCAGCCACACUGAGGUCUUCUCUUCUAACUGCAACACGUUGAGACAUGUUUUUAAGUAUGUUGCGACUUACACAGCUCAUAUCCCAUCCUAUGCUGAUAUCUGGGGAUGGGUCAUGGCUUCGGAUUUUCCAUUAGAGCUGAAUGCAGAAGAGAUAUACCUAAGAAUGAGACAAAGGAUUAAGGGAGAAAAUAGAUAUAUGGAUGGCAAAACAUUCUCAUCAGCCUCAACAUUGAGCAAAGUUGCUCGGAAUUUGUUGGACAAUGAAACUCAUCUACACAGAGGAAGCUGCAAAGUUCAUACAUGGCCAUGGCAAGCAUGCUUAAUUAACCAAGCUUGACAACAAGUAUCACAACAUCUAAAGAAAACAAGUGAAAUCCCAUGUUAUGUUGUUCUUCUCUUUUAUUUUUUAUUAAAGAUGUUGUGUGAAACACUUCAUGAAAAUUUUUAUGAUUAAAGAUUACUAAUGAAUUAAGGCUGAAUAUGUUUGCAAUAUUACUUGGAUUUUUUUAUGA